UUAUGCGAUACUUGGUGUGAAUUGCAGAAUUCAGUGAAUCAUCGACGAUCUUUGAACGCACCUUGCGCCCUUUGGUAUUCCGAGGGGCAUGCCUGUUUGAGUGUCAUUAAAUACCAUCAACCCUCUUUUGACUUGGUCUCGAGAGUGGCUUGGAAGUGGAGGUCUGCUGGAGCCUAACGGAGCCAGCUCCUCUUAAAUGUAUUAGCGGAUUUCCCUUGCGGGAUCGGUCUCCGAUGUGAUAAUUUCUACGUCGUUGACCAUCUCGGGGCUGACCUAGUCAGUUUCAAUAGGAGUCUGCUUCCAACCGUCUCUUGACCGAGACUAGCGACUUGUGCGCUAACUUUUGACUUGACCUCAAAUCAUGUAGGUCUACCCGCUGAACUUAAGCAUAUCAAUAAGCGGAGGAA
rnacentral:rRNA from 1 species